UAAUCGUAUCCUACAGGAAAAAAACGUAAUACUCACAGCCGGUCUUUUCUGAGAGAUCUCUGUAUUCGGGUUCAUCAGGUAACGACUGUAAUGCACCCAUAACUCUGUAAACGCGCCAGCCGACUAAUCCAGACGCAUGAAAAUAACGAUUGGUCUCGCUCAGGACAACGCAGUUUUAGAGAAAACUGAUGUGGAAAACUCAGCCAGAAGCUAGCAAGUGUCAAGUGAAUCGACAACAUCACCACAAACGUCUUUUCAAGCCAGGAUAAGAUUAGCAUAAUGUUUCCUGUUAGAGAGUGGAGAGGAAGGAGAGGACAAAGACUGGAUAGGAAGAAGAGUGAAAGAGAAAGAGGAGGAAAGGUAUGAUUACAGAGACUGCCAAUGUAUUAUUCCAACCAAUGUUUUUGAGAUAAAAUACAAAAAUGAGGCAUGCAAUGGGAAUCUGUUAACCAAAGUAUUUUAUCUAAUAGUGUACUAUUUAUUAUUAAAGAUUGGAGAAGGAAAGAUUAAGGGAGUAAAAAGAGUGAAGCGAGGAGAGUGUGGAAGAGUGAGGUGGAAAGGUAAAGAGAAGGAAAGGAAAAAAAGAGCAGGAAGAGGAGUGAGAAAAGAGGAGGAGAAAGAUUGGAGGAGAAGAAAAAGUGAAGAGAGUAAGAAGAGUGACACAAGGAGAGUGAAGAAGAGCAGACAGAGGAGGUACAAUGGCUCAUUCCAAGAAACUGAAAUGCCAUUUUAAUGACAACAUGAGAAAAUGUCCAUUUAAACGCUCAGGUCAAGACGAUAGAAUGGUUAACUGCACCCUUUUUAAUUCCUCUUUUUCAAUUGGCAGCGGGGGAAGAACGGCACUGGUAGAACAUCAACAGACAAAAAAAAGCAUAAAGCCUCUCUGAUUGCCCGUGUUGGUAUGCCCUCUGUCACCACAUUCUUCUAGAAGGUAGAGCCUUCCCAAGAAGAAUAUGAUUUAGCUGUGCAGGAGGGAUGUCUUUGCAUACCACACUAUGCAACACAAUCAUAGUUACAGAUCUCUGGGCUACACAGCACAACUGACACGGAAGCUUUAUGAGCCGAAGUUUACAUGUGCUAGGACAAAAUGUGAAGCCAUACGUGUUUACACCAUGGCUAACUACUUUGGUAACACAGGACCUAGACCAGGUUGAAUUUGUGUCCCUGUCCAUUGAUGCGUCCAAUCAUGGACAUGUAAAGCUGCUGCCAAUACUAGUCAGAUAUUGUAAGAUAUAUGAUGGCAACACAUUUUGUUGAAUUGAAAGGAGAAAUAGCAGAGGAAAUUGCUGCUGAGGUCCUGGUGUUCAUCCAAAAAUGUAACCUGGAAAACAAAGUCGUGGCAUUCUCUGCCGACAACACAAAUACCAACUUUGGAGGACUGAAUAGGCUGGGGAGGGUCAAUGUCCAUACCAAAGUUAAAAAUGCUCUGAAGUGGGAUGUGAUUAGAUUAGGUUGUCCUGCCCGCAUCAUUCAUAACACGCCCAGAACAGCUUUGGAUAUGAUUCCCCUUGAUGAUGAGUACCUGCUCAAAAAGAUAUUUGGAUAUUUUCACCGUUGUAGAAAGACUGAAGAGCUUUUUUUUAGGACACAGAAAUGUUCGCUGGCUGUCCAUGUUCCCGGCUCUAGAAAGAGUGCUAAAAAUGUAUGUGCCAUUGAAAUCAUUUUUUCUUUCUUGAAGACAAAUGCCCUGUUGUCCUGCGAACAAUGUUCGAAGAUCCACCGACUGAAUUUUGGCCUUUGUCCAUGGAAACCUGACCGUAUUCAGUGACACAAUCAAGAUGCUUGAAGGCCAGGACCGCUGUGUUGUGGAGUCAGCUGCAAUUCUGAGAAACAUUAACGCAAAAUUGACUGCAAGACGUGAUGACAACUUCAUUCCAGUUUUGGUCAGAGGACUUCUGAGAGAGCUAGAGGAAACUGGAGCAAUGUCCAAAGAGAGCUUUCUCAAAACAUCCCAAUCAUUCUUCACUACGGCUGUGAACUACUUGCAAGCAUGGGAAAAGCACACAGAUAAUCUAAAAGAUUGACAUUGUCUCCUUUUUAAAAAGGCAACCUCAGCGUGAAGAGAUCCAGAAGGCAGCAGGCACACUGCAGGAAAAAUGCCCCAAUGUGACCAUCAAUGAGGAUGCAUUGUUUGACAAGGUUACUGGCCAGCAAAAGUUCCUAAAGGGAGGAUUGCUUGAAGAAUGGAAAACAUCUGAGACACGGCUUAGUCAGAGAUGGAGCACGGUGGUUACCCACUUCAAAGAGAACGACAUCCCACACACUAACCUGGCUAGAUUAGAGUCUGUUGUCAUGUGCUUACCUGGAAGUUGUACACCAGUUGAGAGAGUGUUCUCCCAAAUGAAUGAUCUAUGGACAGCAGCAAGAAAUAGGUUCACUGUUCCUACCAUCAAGGCCAUGCUUAUUGUGAAUAUAAACUUCAACCUCCUCUGCCAGGAGUUCAUGGAGAAGCUGGCCAAAGACAUAGGAAACCUUGAAGAAGAUAUAUUAUGCUGAGAAAUAUUCAGAUUAGGUUGGUAUAAGUAUAUUAUGUAGUUACCAAUCUCAUUUUAUUUCUUUAUUUUGUUAAGUAUUUCACAUAUACUAUUGUCUGUUUUUUUUUCUUCAAUUUUGCUCAUGUUCUCUUCUGUUCUUAUUCUACCCAGACUACCAGGACCACUGAAUGGCUGUUCAGAUUGGACAGUUCUGUCUUGUCUGUAAUGUUUCUGUAAUAGUUGUUUUUUUCU